AUUCAUAAUUUAAUUUCAAAUUAUCAACCUCUUCUUCAGGUUUAUUGUAGGUACACAUUGGUGUGUGACAUAGGAGUCUUGCCUGAUUUGAAAUAUCAUGAAACAUACAGAAAUGUAUACUUCUUUUAAUGAGUAAUUCUGAAGAUGGAAGGAAGUCAUUUACGCUGUCUAAAAAGGCUUUAAAAGCUCUUAAACCAGGAUAUGAGCAAAAAAGAUUAGUCAAUUUUAGACAUUAUCCAUCAAUUUUCUAAAUAAAUCUUAAUAUUAAUGUUUCUCAUUAAAGAAAGGGGGGCUGGAGGGGGUUCGUCUGAUGUUGAGCGAGCAUUAACACUCAUCGUAGAUUUGAUUUAACUAAGUAUGUGCUUAAAUAAAACAAAAACUGCGUGCGUAAAAAGUACACGUGUCAAAAGUGAAACUUCUUUGUAAAUUCAUUAUUACGAAGGUAAAAGCCUUAAUGAAAUUCAUGAAGAAAUAAAAUAUGUUGGUGGUAAAAUAAACAUUUCUAUUAUACGACAAGGACAUAAGACCCCCCCAGGCGUAUGAGUUAACUUACAAAACCUUGAUCACGAACCUUAUAAUAAAAAAUUUCAUCUAUUUUGCCUACAUUGAAGUGAUAAAUGCACACAGAAAACAUCACACAGCUGCCAUUCGAACGAUCUGAGCGUUGAGAUCCUUCCGCCACUAGGCUUGACAGUAUCUUGCCAAUUCAUUUAUGAAAAUGUUAUGUAUGUAAGAAAGAAUCUACAUAUUUUUAGUAAAAUAAAUGAUAAACAACUUUAAUAGUAGAAAUAAAGAUAAUGGCUCAACCAUCUUUCCGAUAAGCCAAAGUUCAAACAUC